rnacentral:sRNA from 1 species
CCUCACCUGUAAAAUGGGGAUGAUAAUAGCACUUAUGUCCUAGUGUUGUUGUUAGGACUAAAUACGGUGAAAUAUAUGGAAACCACUUUGAACAGAGCUGGGCACAUGGUGAGUGUUACAGACGUGUUUGCUAUUAUUAUUACAAUGUUACCAAAUCAUAAAAAGACUUCCCUACUGGUAUGCUAAACUAGGGAAUAAUUUAAUUCUGGGAACGGAUUCUAGCCGGACAGUUUCUCCUCCCUUUCAUUGGAAUUGUUCUACCUCAAGCUGGGGGCCAACUUAGCGCAGAGAAACCACCCCUCAAGUCUGCAACCCUUUCCACAGAGGAGGGCAGGGCAGGUGCUUGGAGCCAGUGGUAACGACAUCAAUUGCAAAUUAAAUUUUCUAGGAAUGAGUUUGAAAAAAUCUGCAGAAAGGAGGUGAAACCAUUAGGAUUAACAGUAAUGAGAGAUGUGACCAUUUCGAAAUCAGAAUAUGCUCCAAGUGAGAAGAUGAUCACGAAGGUCCAGGAUUUCCAGGAAGAUAAGGAGCUCUUCAGAUACUGUACUCUCCCCGAGAUUCUGAAAUAUGUGGAGUGCUUCACUGGACCUAAUAUUAUGGCCAUGCACACAAUGUUGAUAAACAAACCUCCAGAUUCUGGUAAUUGUAAGGGAGAAGAAAAAAAAAAUGGUUUCAUUAAAAUGUGUAAGGUUAGCUGGGUGCAGUAACUCAUGCCUGUAAUCCCAGCAUUUUAGGAGACUGAGGGAGGAAGAUCUCCGAGGCCAGGAGUUUGAGAGUGGUCUGGGCAACAUAGUGAGGCUCUGUCUCCAAAAAUAAAAUUUGAAAAUAUCCAGGCAUGGUGGUACGCACUGUAGUCCCUGCUAUUGGAAGGCUGAGGUGGGAGGAUCGCUUGAGCCCAGGAGUUGAAGGCUGCAGUGAACCUAUAAUGGCAUGCUCUCCAGCCUGCGUGACACAGUGAGACCCUAUCUCUAAAUAAUAAAUAAAAUAAAACAAAACAAAAUAAUAAAAU